GUUUGUGGAAGGAAGUGUAAUAUGGCUACUGCUGGGAAAACGAAGUGAUCUUGCCCAGCCAGGCCAUGAACAUGGUCCAGGUUGGACUGAAACGUUUGCCAGUGACUAAAUAUCACUUUUUCUUGAUGGAUUAAAAAUGAUAAAAUAAAAUAAGAAGUUCAUAAAACAGAAGUUGGAGUGCCGUGGUUUAUUCUUAAUUUAUGAAGUACCACUGAGCACCGCCUUCACCCUAGAGGUGGACCAACGGAUGAACCAGCUGCAUUGGGCUGCUGUCAGAUUACACAAAAGUCGGUGUAUGCGGCGCUGCCUGCAAGACGAGAUUUCUAUUCUGCAGUAAAAAAGAUAUGUUUGCCGAGGCUUAUGAGCU